rnacentral:rRNA from 1 species
UACGUAGGGUGCGAGCGUUAAUCGGAAUUACUGGGCGUAAAGCGUGCGCAGGCGGUGAGCUGUGUCCGAUGUGAAAGCCCCGGGCUUAACCUGGGAAUGGCAUUGGAAACUGGCUCGCUGGAGUGUGGCAGAGGGGGGUGGGAUUCCGCGUGUAGCAGUGAAAUGCGUAGAGAUGCGGAGGAACACCGAUGGCGAAGGCAGCCCCCUGGGCUAACACUGACGCUCAGGCACGAAAGCGUGGGGAGCAAACAGG